rnacentral:pre_miRNA from 1 species
UAGAUUUGUCCUAAAUCAAACUUCUCUAACUUUGACCAAGUUCUUAGAUAAAUAUGUUAACAUCUAGUUCAAAUAAAUGCACUAUCAAGACUUAUUUCAUGGAAAAUUUAAUGAAACUAAUUAGAUGUCGUAGAUGCUGGUGCAUUUUCAAUAAACAUGGUCAAAGUUAGAGAUGUUUGAGUUAGGACAAAGCUAA